rnacentral:rRNA from 1 species
ACUCCUACGGGAGGCAGCAGUAGGGAAUAUUGGUCAAUGGGCGAGGGCCUGAACCAGCCAUGCCGCGUGCAGGAAGACGGCCUUCUGGGUUGUAAACUGCUUUUGGCCGGGAACAAAAAGCCCCUGCGGGGGAAAUUGAGUGUACCGGCAGAAUAAGCACCGGCUAACUCCGUGCCAGCAGCCGCGGUAAUACGGAGGGUGCAAGCGUUGUCCGGAUUUAUUGGGUUUAAAGGGUGCGUAGGCGGGCC